AUUGAACGCUGGCGGCAGGCCUAACACCUGCACGUCGAACGAGUGGCGGACGGGUGAGUAAUGUCUGGGAAACUGCCUGAUGGAGGGGGCUAACUACUGGGAACGGUAGCUAAUACCGCAUACCAUCAGAUGUGCCCAGAUGGGAUUCGCUAGGUGGGGGGGUAACGGCUCACCAAGGCGACGAUCCCUAGCUGGUCUGAGAGGAUGACCAGCCACACGGGAACGGAGACACGUUCCAGACUCCUACGUGAGGCAGCAGUGGGGAAUAGUGCACAAUGGGCGCAAGCCUGAUGCAGCCAUGCCGCUUGUAUGAAGAAGGCCUUCGGGUUGUAAAGUACUUUCAGCGGGGAGGCGUUACCCGCAGAAGAAGCACCGGCUAACUCCGUGCCAGCAGCCGCGGUAAUAC
rnacentral:rRNA from 1 species